rnacentral:rRNA from 1 species
UUGUACACACCGCCCGUCACACCAUGGGAGCGGGUUUUACCAGAAGUAGGUAGCUUAACCGCAAGGAGGGCGCUUACCACGGUAGGAUUCGUGACUGGGGUGAAGUCGUAACAAGGUAGCCGUAUCGGAAGGUGCGGCUGGAUCACCUCCUUU